rnacentral:lncRNA from 1 species
AUUAAGAUGAAGAACUUCUUCUUCUUCUCCUUGCUUUUCUCUUUUUCUUCUUCUCCUUCUUUCUCUCUUUUCCUUCUUCUCCUUCUUUCCUUCUUCUUCUCCCUUCGGUUGGGCACGAACAGAGAGAGAGAGGGGGCUGUGGGAGUGGGAGAGAGAGAGGGAAUACUCUCUCUAAUAACCCCUCUUCACAUGUUGUAACAAUAUCCUACUAAGCCCCUCUGUUUUUCCAAAAUCUGCAACUCAUCCUACUGUUUCGGCCUCCUUGUACCGGUACACGGUUUCUUGUACCGGUACAAGGCCUGGCA